GGUUGCGACUGGUGUAAAGGGAAAGGACUUCAAAACCAGCAGAAUAAGACUGGGUGACGAGGAGGUGUUCACAGUCACCGCUGCGGAUGGAACACCGUUGGCAACCAUAGAUGUUUUCCGUGAUGAGGGAUAUGAAAUCGAGCUUACUCCAGAUGGCAGAACGUGUCGGCUUAGCCAGGUGUCAGACAAAAGUGCGUGUUUCGAAGAGGCGCCACUUGCGGAUGAGGCGGUGUUGGCGCGUAUUGCUGACCGUUGCAAAGGCAGAGAGAUCGUGACCUUGAAGCCAAAGGAUUGCAAUGCAAACGCCAGUCUCGA